CCAUCAUAAAUUUUAUUGGUUACUGGAGCAGAGAGGAUGGGCCAACAGUAAUCUCAACCGGAAGACGACCACAGAAGCGGAGAGACCUGAGCGACCGGCAGCUUCUGGAGACCCAGGUUCCGACGUGAGCUGAGGAUUCCUCUUUGGAG